AUACGUAGGUGGCAAGCGUUGUCCGGAAUUACUGGGUGUAAAGGGAGCGCAGGCGGGCGUGCAAGUCAGCUGUGAAAUCCAUGGGCUUAACCCGUGGGCUGCAGUUGAAACUGUAUGUCUUGAGUGAAGUAGAGGUAGGCGGAAUUCCGAGUGUAGCGGUAAAAUGCGUAGAUAUUCGGAGGAACACCGGUGGCGAAGGCGGCCUACUGGGCUUUAACUGACGCUGAGGCUCGAAAGUGUGGGGAGCAAACAGGAUUAGAUACCCUGGUAGUCCACGCUGUAAACGAUGAAUACUAGGUGUAGGGGGUAUCGACUCCCCCUGUGCCGCAGCUAACGCAUUAAGUAUUCCACCUGAGUAGUACGGUCGCAAGACUGAAACUUAAAGGAAUUGACGGGG
rnacentral:rRNA from 1 species